GCCAGCGUGGUGCAGUGGUCUGAGUGUCGGACUACGACUCUGAGACCAGGGUUUGAUUCUCUGCUCUGCCA